rnacentral:rRNA from 1 species
UGGGGAAUAUUGGACAAUGGGCGCAAGCCUGAUCCAGCCAUGCCGCGUGAGUGAUGAAGGCCUUAGGGUUGUAAAGCUCUUUUGUCCGGGAAGAUAAUGACUGUACCGGAAGAAUAAGCCCCGGCUAACUUCGUGCCAGCAGCCGCGGUAAUACGAAGGGGGCUAGCGUUGCUCGGAAUCACUGGGCGUAAAGGGCGCGUAGGCGGACUUUUAAGUCGGAGGUGAAAGCCCAGGGCUCAACCCUGGAAUUGCCUUCGAUACUGGGAGUCUUGAGUUCGGAAGAGGUUGGUGGGACUGCGAGUGUAGAGUUGAAAUUCGUAGAUAUUCGCAAGAGCACCGCUGGCGACGGCGGCCAACUGGUCCGAAACUGACGCUGAGGCGCGAAAGCGUGGGGAGCAAACAGG